rnacentral:rRNA from 1 species
UUCCGGUUGAUCCCGCCGGAGGCUACCGCUAUUGGAGUUCGAUUAAGCCAUGCGAGUCGCGAGUCUUAGGGACUCGGCGUACCGCUCAGUAACACGUGGGUAACCUGCCCUAUGCUGGGGGAUAACCUCGGGAAACUGAGAAUAAUACCCCAUAGUUCACCACGCCUGGAACGGUGGGUGGACCAAAGCUCCGGCGGCAUAGGAUGGGCCUGCGGCGUAUCAGGUUGUAGGGGGUGUAAUGUACCCUCUAGCCCUCUACGCGUACGGGUGUUGAGAGACAUCGCCCGGAGAUGGAUUCUGAGACACGAAUCCAGACCCCACGGGGUGCAGCAGGCGCGAAAACUUGGCAAUGCGAGAAAUCGUGACCAGGGAACUCCAAGUGCAUCGGGUAAGACCGAUGCUUUUCUUGACUCUUCAAAGGUCUUGGAAUAAGGGGUGGGUAAGGACGGUGCCAGCCGCCGCGGUAAUACCGGCGCCCCAAGUGGUAGUCGCUUUUAUUGGGCCUAAAACGUCCGUAGCCGGUCUGGUACAUUCGUGGGUAAAUCAACCAGCUCAACUGGUUGAAUUCUGCGAGCACGGCCAGACUUGGGACCGGGAGAGGUGUGGGGUACUCUCAGGGUAGGGGUAAAAUCCUGUCAUCCUGAGAGGACCACCUGUUGCGAAGGCGCCACACUAGAACGGAUCCGACGGUCAGGGACGAAGCCUAGGGGCACGAACCGGAUUAGAUACCCGGGUAGUCCUAGGUGUAAACGCUGUGGACUUGAUGUUGGGGGCGCUCCGAGCGCACUCAGUGUCGAAGCGAAGGUGAUAAGUCCACUGCCUGGGGAGUACGGUCGCAAGGCUGAAACUUAAAGGAAUUGGCGGGGGAGCACCGCAACCUGAGGAUUGUGCGGUUUAAUUGGAUUCAACG